CAUAUGUCUGUGAUUGUGUGUGUGUGUGUGUGUCGUCCUUGGUCUUAGUCUGGGCUGACAACAGCUAUCCACUUCACACACACACACACACACACACACACACGCA
rnacentral:miRNA from 14 species